UACGAGGGGAGCUAGCGUUAUUCGGGAUUACUGGGCGUAAAGCGCACGUAGGCGGCUUUGUAAGUUAGAGGUGAAAGCCCAGAGCUCAACUCUGGAAUUGCCUUUAAGACUGCAUCGCUUGAAUCCAGGAGAGGUGAGUGGAAUUCCGAGUGUAGAGGUGAAAUUCGUAGAUAUUCGGAAGAACACCAGUGGCGAAGGCGGCUCACUGGACUGGUAUUGACGCUGAGGUGCGAAAGCGUGGGGAGCAAACAGG
rnacentral:rRNA from 1 species